CAUUUGAGUAAAAAAAAAAAUCAAAAACCCCCCAUUUCUUCUUUGCUUGGGUUUCAAAAACCCUCUUAAGCCGCUAUCAGUAGCCCGCCACUCCUCCACCAUGGACGAUGGUCAGAGCGGCAUAGGACGGGCUUUUCAGCCCCGCUUCCAAAAUAUUCAAGGGCCACGCCCUUUUCAGCCCAAAAAAAAAAGAGAAUGAGGCCCUCUUACCCCGCUCUUGGAUUCGAUUCCGGCGACAGAGAAAAGGCUCCGACGACACAACCUCGGGGUGACUCAGAGAUGUCAGAUGCCUGCGAUGAAGCAGCGUGCGUGGUGGCCGUGCUGGUGAGGAGCGGCGGCUGAAAGUUGGGGCUAGGGUUAGGUUUCCAAAUGUUUAAACAUUCUGGGCCACUUCGGCCUUCAAAUUUUGGGUUGUUUGGUGUAAUGGGUUUUAGUUGGGAAUUAGAUUUAAAGAUUGGGUCAAUUAUCCAUUUUGUAAUUUGGACACUGGGUUUUAUUAAUUGGUUAUUUAUUGUUUUAUUUGAGCUAGGCCAAAAUUGGCCUAUUACA